CCUACGGGAGGCAGCAGUGGGGAAUUUUGGACAAUGGGCGCAAGCCUGAUCCAGCCAUGCCGCGUGCAGGAUGAAGGCCUUCGGGUUGUAAACUGCUUUUGUACGGAACGAAAAGACUCUGGUUAAUACCUGGGGUCCAUGACGGUACCGUAAGAAUAAGCACCGGCUAACUACGUGCCAGCAGCCGCGGUAAUACGUAGGGUGCGAGCGUUAAUCGGAAUUACUGGGCGUAAAGCGUGCGCAGGCGGUUAUAUAAGACAGAUGUGAAAUCCCCGGGCUCAACCUGGGAACUGCAUUUGUGACUGUAUAGCUAGAGUACGGCAGAGGGGGAUGGAAUUCCGCGUGUAGCAGUGAAAUGCGUAGAUAUGCGGAGGAACACCGAUGGCGAAGGCAAUCCCCUGGGCCUGUACUGACGCUCAUGCACGAAAGCGUGGGGAGCAAACAGGAUUAGAUACCCUGGUAGUCCACGCCCUAAACGAUGUCAACUGGUUGUUGGGUCUUCACUGACUCAGUAACGAAGCUAACGCGUGAAGUUGACCGCCUGGGGAGUACGGCCCGCAAGGUUGAAAACUCAAAUGAAAUUGACGG
rnacentral:rRNA from 1 species